rnacentral:rRNA from 1 species
AUGGAGCAGCACCAUGAGGAGGAGUCGUGUGUUCCCCCUGGGUUCAGGUUCCACCCCACUGAGGAGGAGCUGGUGGGGUACUACCUCGCCAGGAAGGUGGCCGCCCAAAAGAUCGACCUCGACAUCAUCCAGGAGGUUGAUCUCUACAGGAUCGAGCCAUGGGACCUCCAAGAGAGGUGCGGCGGCGGCAGGGGAGGACCGGGAGCGCGUCAGGUGGCGGCGGAGGACGAGCAGUCGUCGGAGUGGUACUUCUUCAGCUUCAAGGACCGCAAGUAUCCGAGCGGCACCCGCACCAACCGCGCCACGGCGGCCGGGUUCUGGAAGGCCACCGGCCGAGACAAGCCGGUGAUGUCGUCUCGGAGCCGUGGCGUGAUCGGCAUGAGGAAGACGCUCGUCUUCUACAGGGGCCGGGCACCCAACGGUAGGAAGACCGACUGGAUCAUCCACGAGUACCGCCUUCAGACCAGCGAGCAUGCCCCCACACAGGAGGAAGGUUGGGUGGUGUGCAGAGCGUUCCAGAAGCCGGCGCCGAACCAGAGGCCGUCCUACAUCUUCCUGCCGCCAUACGCCGCCGCUCCGGGCCUCGGCGGCUACUACGACACGCGGCCUUGGCUGCACGGCCAAGUCGGCGGCGACCACCAUUUCCUGCAGAGCGCCGCUGGCGCUGCCGGAGCCGGCGCACUCGGGUUUCCCGGCCAGGGCGCCCAGUAUUCCUCUGACGAGCUGCUGGACUCCAAGCAGAGUCUCUUCGGCAACAUCCCACAGCUCAUCGAGAGCCCACCGACGACCACCGCCGUUGCCGGUUGCGGCGACACCGGCUACGGCAUCGGCCAGCAUGGAGAGGUAGCUGCUGGCAUCGACUGGAACUUUCUGGACAGCCUGCUGUCCACGACGCAGCUCCAUGAAUACUCUGCUACGGCUGCCUCACAGCUUCACCUGCAGCAGUGA